ensembl:snoRNA
GUGCCUGCGCAUGAUGAGAACCGUGUUGGUAGGGACAUCUGAGGGGCUGAUGAAUGCCAACACAGCUGAGCUGGGCAC